AGGACGAACGCUGGCGGCGUGCUUAACACAUGCAAGUCGAGCGAGGCUCCUCCUUCGGGAGGAUGCCCUAGCGGCGAACGGGUGAGUAACACGUGGGCAACCUGCCCCUAGCACUGGGAUAACCCCGGGAAACCGGGGCUAAUACCGGAUACGACUUCGGAAGGCAUCUUCUGAAGUGGAAAAGGUUACUGGCUAGGGAUGGGCCCGCGGCCUAUCAGCUUGUUGGUGGGGUAAUGGCCCACCAAGGCGACGACGGGUAGCCGGCCUGAGAGGGCGACCGGCCACACUGGGACUGAGACACGGCCCAGACUCCUACGGGAGGCAGCAGUGGGGAAUAUUGCACAAUGGGCGAAAGCCUGAUGCAGCGACGCCGCGUGAGGGAUGACGGCCUUCGGUUGUAAACCUCUUUCAGCAGGGACGAAGCGAAAGUGACGGUACCUGCAGAGAAGCACGGCCAACUACGCGCCAGCAGCCGC
rnacentral:rRNA from 1 species